UAAACCAGAGAACCAGAGCAUUGCAAGACCAUUCCCCAGUCAAAAACCAUGAAGAAUCUCUAUAAGAAAGGCAAAGUUCAUCCAUCUACGCCGUCCGUCUCCCACCACUUAUCGCUGCUUCCGGCAACAAUUCUCACCCUUGCAGCUGCUCUCUCCGAUGAAGACAAACAAGUCUUAGCUUACCUUAUCUCCUGCUGCGGAACCUCCAACUCCAAAUCCACCAGCUUCACCGGUCACCAGAAAACUACUCUUCCCACUGAUGAUGAUCAUCAUGGCGAUGAAGGCGGCGGCGGGAAUCAUGAUCCAAUGUUUGAAUGUAACUGUUUUAGUUGUUACAUGAGUUUUUGGGCGCUUUGGGACAGUUCACCUAACCGUCAACUGAUACACGAGAUCAUUGAAGCUUAUGAGGAAGAGUUGUUCCAGAAGAAGAAGAAGAAUUCGAAGAAGAAGAAGAAGGAGAAAAGUAAGCGAGUUUGCGAUGAGUCAAAAGAGAAUAUUGAUCAAGAGAAGGCAUUGAAGGACGAGUUGGAAUCGGAGGAGAAGAAUUCAUCUGCUAAGAUUGAAGAUGUUCAGGUGGAAUCGGAGAAGGGUGCCGUGAGGAAGGUUGCGAGCUUCAUUGGAGAGAAAUUUUGGGGAAUUUGGAGCAGGGA
rnacentral:misc_RNA from 1 species